UUUUUUUUUGAGAAAUAUUGUGUGUGUGUGUGUGUGUGUGUGUGUGUGUGUGUGUGUGUGCUCAGAGAGGAAGAAAAGGAAAGAAGGGAGAAUGAAGCCAAGAAGGAGGGAUGUAAGGAAAGGGAGAGACAGAAAAGAGAGAGAGAGAAAAGAGAAAGGAGGGAGGAAGGAAGGAAAGAAAGAGAGGGAGUGUGGGGGGCAGUGAAGUGAGAGGAGCAAGGGAUCUCAACUGAUUGCCUCCAGAAAAACUUAAACCACAGCAUUUCCCCACUUUGGAUGUGAAUUACUGAGAUUUUGCGUAAGUGGCCAGCAGUGACCCCUGACCUUCAGCAACACGCAGUCUCACCUUCAUUUCUAAAAUGCGGGUUCUCAUAAAGUUUUCAACAUCCCAGUGCUGAUAUUGUUUAUUCCCAUCAGCACUGUAAGUGCAGGUGGUUUGUAGAUUGAUGAAAAAAAAAAGGCCCCUCCCUUCCCACCUAAUCUCUUCCCCAGGGAAGCCCUUUGAGGCACAUAUUAGCAUUUUAAUGUAUGACAUAUGCGAUUAUUUUCUGGUUCUUUCUGACAGCAGAGGUGGAUUCCGCUGCCAUGCCAAUGUGUGUUUCCUUUGCUGGCAUGGUUUCCCUUGGGGGUCCUGUUCGGUGCCUUUGUGUAUUUUCUGCUUAUCAACUGUGGGCACUGUCUCUGUGAGGCUGAAGCCCUCAGGCCUCUGCUUCUCACCUUUUUAGCUCUCCAACUCUUACAUGGCAUCUGGGCUCUGUGACGUUAACAUUCAGCCCUCAAGGUUGACCUUGCUUUACCUUGAUGGUAUUUCGGUUCCCAAGGGCUGGUAACAUGUUGUGGCAGUGGUGAAGGUGGUCCUUUGAGGACCCACCAGGAGGCUUUGACUUGGUUUAGCUCUCCACCCUCUGGUUUCCCCAGAGGCAUCCAUCUGUUGAGAAGCUGCUUAGCUGUGUACCUGCAGGAUGGCAGCGUCACUUGGCUCCAUUGGUGUACCUUCAUCUGCUUUUCAUCUUCAUCCUCCAUUUCUCUUCUUCAUAGUCCACACUGGUCCCAGGUUCCGUUCAGAGUGGGCUUUGCCUUACUCCCCAGUGGGGUUUUCUGGUUAUCCAGAUCUCCAAUGUUACAGGAGUGAGUCACUUUGUAAGCACCAGGAGGUUCAUGAUCCUUGGCUCCUGUGUCCUGCAGAAAGUGUGUGGGCAGAAGCAAUCCCUUCUGAGAUAGUGCAGCUGGGUAUAGAAUCUGAGCCUAAAGCAAGCUUUUCUAAGACUUAGAAGUAGUUCUCAAGGAUUUUGUUUGGGAGAAAAUUUCUGUGGUUUAGAAGUAGUUCUCAAGGAUUUUGUUUGGGGGCAGAAAUCUAGAGAUGGUCUGACUCCUUGUUUCCUUUUGUAUUUAAAUGUAAAGUCACAAUCGAUCAACUUUAGUGUAGGUGGGAGACAGGGCAGACCUUGAAAGCAGAUACCCAUUGGUUGUGAGUAAUUACUUUCUUAGUUCUGUGUCACUAUUUCGUCCUGGUGGUCUCUUCCAUGUUCGUCCUCCAUGGAAACUGAGAAGAGCAGCUUUGAGGAGUGUAAACAUGUGCGUCUUCCCCUACCCCAAGCUUCACUUGACACUCUGGGUCUUACAGAUGACAGCUUUAUCCCAAGUUUCCCUUGACACUAUGAGACUUGCAAAUGUUAGCUCUCUCCCAGGCUUUGGUUGAGGCUAUGAAACUGCAGAUGCCAGAAUGGGUCUGGGCAGAUCCCAUCUGGGUAGUGUGUAGUGUAUUUCCAGAGAGGACCUAUCUAUGAAAAGUAAUGUCCAGAACCAGAACGGUGUGACAUUUCCCACUCUUGACAUGCUCUAGUCUAAACCUUGUUGUCUAGCCCUAUGUUUUGGUGAUGUCACAUGGGAAUGGACUUCACAGCUCUGACCAUGGUGGCUAUUUUAGGUCAGCUGUAUAUGUCCAGUGAAGUCAUUUGGAUCCUUAGAGAUGAGAGAGAGGCCACCAGACUACUGAAGAACAAUAUGCAGAAAGCUCAGGAACCAGUCUCAACAAAGCCUCAGUCCAAAUAUGGAUGCCAGAAGUCUAAGAGGAAUCUCCCUGCACUUUAGGGCACUAAGCUCUACUGAGCAUAGGAAAGGUGUGUAACCUUCAUGGCUCACUUAGGUGCUAUCUCCAUUCAUCCCCUGCUGGGACAGCAUCCAGUUACUUCAGCCACUCUGCUCAUCUGGCUUUCCUACUCUUUGGACUCACUUUUGUGUAUUUCUGACCUCCCUAAGAAGACUUAGGAGGGAAAGAAGGCAGGUGACUGUGCCCUAUCUUCUUAAGGUGAAAGUCCAUGGGACAUAGCUUAAAAAUAUCUAUUCAGAUUAAGACUGCUGAGCCAAAAGUGCCCCAUGAUCCUUGGACAUAAUGCAUUAAUGCAGCAGGUGCCAAAAUCCUGGACUUCAACAUGCUGCGUAGUUGAUUCUAGUUCCCAACUCUGCAAACAGCUGUGUGGCUUCAGGCAGGUCACUAAACCCAUCUGAGCCUGCUUUAUGGAGACACAUAUCUUCCACUUAUAGCACUACAUAGGGAAUAAACAACGUGAGAUUACUAUCGAACCCAACAAACACACAUGGGCUAUAACCACACCUGUUGAGUACAGAAGUGUAGUGAGGCGUUCCUUUCUGUCUCUGGGGCAGUAGUUCCAUCAGAAGGCCAGGGCCCCACCCUGUUCCUCUAUGACAUCACCCUGGAGCUUCACUGACUCAAAGCAAAACAAAACACUGGUAGUUCCUUUCUUGCUUAGGAUGACUGUUGUGAUCCCCAUACAUAGUAGAAAGGGUGACUUCCCUCACCCUGCCAAGGAGAUGAAUCCUUCACAAGCAAAGGAAGCAUUCCCAAGAUGAAGCCAUCUCAUCUCUCACCAUGAGCAUAGUGGAGCACAGCGUUAAAGGUUCUUCAAGAUUAGGAUUUCCAUCAUUGUGGAGGGUAGAGUGUUUUAGAUCCAGAACCGGAAUGAUCUUGGGCUGUCUUUAGCUGCCUUAGAAAUCAUUCAAUGCUCAUUCCUGUGUAGAAGUUUGAUCUGGUUCUUCCUCCCAGCCACAUGCUACCAGAUUCAAAAUACAUUUACAAAUAACUUGGCCAGAUAGCUGGGCUCUUCUCCGAUUAGAUCAUUACUUAAUAUAACUCAUUAUAAUCUGUAUUCUGUCAUAUGGCUGGUUACCUGUGCUCAUGAACUAUACAUCUAUGUAGUCACAUCUUCCUGGACAAAUCUCCUGCAUCUUGCUCUAUCUCAGAAUCCUUUCUGCCUCCCAGAUGUCCCAACCUUUGUUCUACCCUUUCCUACAGUCACAGGCUUUCUAACAGACCAGUGUUGCAUUCAUACAACACACAAGCUAUUCUCUCUACGCCCUUGUGUCUGAUAGCCUUGUGACUGUUCCCGGUGUGUAACAAUGCUGUGGGAUCAAAACCUGGUGCCUGUCUGAGAAGCUCCCUUGUGCUGGAUUGCACUGGCUUAGUACUCUGUGAAUGCUCUCUGUAACACUGGGGCUAAACCAGACCCAUCUGGCUGCAAAGUGUGGAGAUUUUAAUUGCCUGGGUAAUGCCCCAAGCUGUACCCCAUGGAUCAAAUACUCCGGGAUCCCUUAUGAGAGCACUAUAUCUUCCAGUAGGGUCACCUCUACUGUGAUGGUGCUGUCUGCUUGAAGACGAUGCCAGCUCCCUGCCAGCUCUUCUUGUCUCUCUAGGUCUCAGGCCCUUAUUGGAUCUAGCCAGUGGUCAGUCAUGUAAGUAUGGUUGCAACCAAGAACAAUAGUGUGGUCAAGACCCUGAACACGAAAGUUGCCAUCCAUUACUUCCAGAGUCUUCUGCCAAGUGGAGGAAUUCACCCUUCUUCCCACUGGGCCAGAGGAUGUGCACUAUGUGUAGGGUUUGCACGGAAUCAUUGCUGUGCUGAGAACCACUUAGCUCCACUGGUAUAAUCUUGGGCCUGUAAUAUGACUUUUGGUGGUGCCGAACCUCUGUCCUUUACUGUGCAGUGCCCAGUAGAGCACCCUCCAUUCUCAAUUACUCUUACUUAGUUGACAGAAGUCAUUGAACAGCUACUGUGCAUCCUGCGCCAGCACCUCCAGGCCUCUGGUUUAUAAUCAGAGUCGUCUUUCUAAUGCCACUGGACUUAGAGUUGCAAUGCAGAGAGUGGAGGUCUCAUUUUCUGUUAACCCCAUAUUCAGGCAUGUCUGUCCCCUUCUAAGGUGCAACGAUGGAAAACAGAUGUCACUCAGCUAGGUAAAGUCAGAGCUGACACCGACUCUUGUCAUUUGCCCAAGAAAGAGUGGGUGCAAGCAUGUCUUGAAAUGUCUGUGUGCCUCUGGAGGGAGCCCCGCAAAGAAUCAUGUGAAAACAGAAGUGUCCUUAUCUUCCUGAGUCUCAGUCUUCAUAUGUAGAAUAGGAGCAGUUGCCCCUUGAUGCCUUGUCUAGCAGCUGAUAGUCAUGAACCCUGGGACAGAAUGAAAGGCCUGGUCUCCUGCCUUCCACUUCCUGUCAUUGAACACCAGGGAGGGAUCCAGUACCAUCUAGAGUAGCUGUUCGGAACAACAGAGUUAGACAUGUGGAGAGAUCUAUUCAAAGUCUGAGACUUUACACCUCUGUGGAUAUUUAAACUCUAGUCAACUUUAGUAGACAUGAAGGGAAAGAAGAGGGGUCUAGGCUAUAGACCAUCCUCUCUACAUAUAUGCACUCAUAUUUGUAUAAAACACAUACAGAUACACACACUCUCUCUCUCUAUAUAUAUGUAUAUAUAUAUAUAUUUAUACAUAUUCUCUAGUAAAAUACUAAUGUGUGGCUGCAUUAUCUACGGGAACAUAUAUGCAUGACAUAUACAUGCUAUCUGAUAUGUGUAUAUUUGUUUGUAUAUGUAUUAUCCUCUGUGUGUGUGUGACAGAGAGAGAGAGAGAGAGAGACAGAGAGACAGAGACAGAGAGACAGAGAGAGAGAGGGGGGGGGAACUGCUCCAGCUGCAGUGCCUUUCCUCUCUAUAGAUUUCGAGCUUUUGCUUCAGUGCUGAGAAAGGCACUAGGCAUGAUAAAUCCCUCCCACAAACAGAGAGAAAUAAAUACUUUCCACAAAGAGGAUCAUGAAGUAUAUUUUUCCCAGGGAGCUCCAUUAUUUUAUAAGCAGUUCCCUUUUUCAUCUUUACUGUGCUUGCUUUGACUGGCCAGACUCCUGGCCCAGUCUGGCCUGCUCUCUGCACCACCUCCAUCAUCACUCACAUUCAGGGGAUGGGGGGGUGAUAGCUGGGCCCCAGAUCAUCACCCAGUUAGGCUCCCUUGACACCUCUGAAGGCAAGAUGAAUGGCCAGCUGCCUUUGUGGGCGGUGCUCCCAAGCAAGUGGUCCUGCCUCCGUGCUGCUCUUUGCUUUCUAUUUUCUGUGUUGCAAGCUUCUUCUGUAUUCCAUUCAGAUGCUGACUGAUGGGCAGAGGUUCCUCAUGAUACAGAGACAAGGAAUGAAAACAUUGUUUCAUUUGCAUAUGUAGAUAUUUGUAUCACUUAGCUAAGAAAACUGUAGCUGCUGUGUGUGUGUGUGUGUGUGUGUGUGUGUGUGUGUGUGUGUGUGUAUCUGAUAAGCACAGAGGAGAGGAUGAGAGAUUCCCACUGUGGCUUGAACAAGCAUGGCACAAACCACCAGGGAGCUGUUGUUAGUCAUCCUUAUUCCUAAGCAAUGCCGGAUGCAGGACCGAGUUUAGACGUCAACACAUCAUGUUGGGAGAGAUAGCUCAACAAACUGCCAGUAGUUCCUGAGAAAGUCAGCUUUCCAGCUUUGUCCUGUAAGCCACUGAUUGACUCAAAUGUCUAUUUUUCUCUCCUUGUCUCUUGUGUGUGGUGUGUGCGAUGGGGAGGCCUUAGGUGUCAGUCCUCAGGGCGUCUGUCAUACAUGUCAUUUUCUGAAGCAGGAUCUCUUACUGAACCUAGACUUUGCCAAUUCAGUCAGACUGGCUAGCCUAGCCCCUCUCUAUGACCUCACACCUGGCUAGCCUGACCCCUCUCUAUGACCUCAUGCUUUGUGUGGAAUAGAGCUUUAGCAAGGCAAUACUUUCAAGGCAAGCCAGUGCCAUGAAGGGAUGCUGCCUUCUUUGCUUGGAAGUUUCAAUGGUUAAAGCAUGUUUUCCUAAGGCUGCAACGUUGGGCAGCAGCUGGAAACUGCCUUGCUGAGAGGAGAAAACGGGGCUAAUUGCGAUGGAAACACCUGAGAGCCGUCAGAACGGAGCUGACUGCACAGACUGCGCGGGAGCCAAGGCGCAGACUGGACAGCGCAGGCGCGUUAAAGCAAGGCUACGGACAGUAGUGUGCUGUGAGGACCGAGGAAAAGGCUUCAGGACUGAGAAGGGUUUUCUUUAGUCGGCGGUCUGGACUCUUGUGUGAGCCGUUUCACAGACGGAUGCUUCCGAACUGCAAGGUCUUCGGUGUCUCAUUAAAGAGACGGGUGCACUGCUUUUAAGAAAUGACGGGAUGCCCAGUCACCGUCAGCUUGGGAGCACUGUUGACCUUCGGCGCCCUUGAGGACAGUAUCUCCAGGGAAUUGACAAACCAGCCAGCAAAUUCUUGUGUCAGUGAAGCCAGCCCUCAUGGUCAUGUCCACAAGCACAGUCACACUGAUGUGCAUAUGCAGGUGUGAAUUGGCUGUGGUUAGCAUAGACUUCCUGCUGUGGCCUGGCCUCCUCCCUUCACUAUGUCCAACAUACCCAGCAUUUCACCUCCACAGCACUGGGUGGUCUGAGAAGUGCACUUCCGUUGGCAUGGGUCAUAUGUAGAUGCUCUGUGUGGAAUGCACAGAGACUGGGGAUAUGCAAUGCUUCAACGGCGAGGAACCAGCCCUCAGGGGUCAAGCCCUGCCCUUUGGGUGAAUCUGCAGUCAGUGAGCCCGGCUUGGCUGCAAGCCCAAGAAUUGGGGUUGGCUUUUGGAUGUACAGGAAUGAAACCUUCAUGGUGGCCUCACCUAGAUCUUCACAGUCAUCCACAGUGCGUUCCCUGAAGCAGAGAGCUCCAAGGCUCAGAGACCUUUCCAGAUGGUACAGAAAGUCUAGAAUUGGAGAUUGGGAUGAGGUCAGUGGUCUUGCCAUUCUCCCUGAGCUCCUACCACAUUCAGCUUCUCUGUCAAUGUCACCCUUACUGAAAACCCACCAUACCCUCGAGAAAGGGACUUGCUUGGCUGUCUGUCUUUGUUGAACAGUCAGAGCUCAUGACUCUUACGUUUUAUGAUUUACAGAGCAACAUCUCUGUCUCUUCUGGUUUUGUCCUCCUGGUCCAACAAUUUUUAAAAAUUAUUUCAUCGUAAUCACUUUACAAGUAAUAAAAUGGAGACCAAGAGAAUUACAUACACACCAAAGUCAUAGGGCUCCUUACAGGCAGGGUUCAAAUCUUCAGCAAGGGCUUAGUCUCACAGCAUAGGGAAGGUAAUGCCUUCUUCUCUUUGAGGGGAGAAGGUCAGAGCCAGGACUACAGGUUGGAGCAAGAGCUAAGAAAUGGUGAGCUGGAAUUGGGUGAGUUUCCAAAGGUAGACAU